rnacentral:lncRNA from 1 species
CGUCAUAAGUGAAAGAAUCCUUUAAGGGUAGUUUGCUGGCAUUAGGAUGGGUCUGAAUAACUUUGUAGAAAUACGCAUAUUGUCGAGCUGUGUUUUUAUAUUGGCUAAAAACAUCGUGUAUGGCCUGGGUUGACCGAAGAUACUGCACUUCAUCUUCUUCAAAGUAGAGAGGAGUAUCAUAUUCACUGGGGAGAGUCUGGAUGUAGGGCAGCCAGAAAGAGUUGGGGUUGGCUCGCUCACAAAGAAGAUGGAAUGCCAAUGUUAUAUUGCCCAUGGCUUGAAGAAUUCGAUCUUGAGAAUACAAGGAACCUAAUACUGAGUUUUUAGCUGACUCAACUGUCAUCAACAGUUUUCUAGGUACCCACAGAAAUAACUCUUCAGCCUUUAUCUCUCUCGUGGCUUUCAAACCAAACCCCUCCUCUUCAAAGUUAGCUAUUUCAAAACCCUCUGUGGAUGCUCCGUUUUCAGUUGCCCAUUUUAUCAGUUCAGGGAAAUAGUCAUCUCUUUUUCCAUCAAAGACAACAGACAAACCUUUUUGUUUCUUGCGAAUUUUCUCAACAAGUGAACGAAUCUGUAUAUAUUCUUCCCAUUCCUUACCAGGACCUGGGGUAGGACUGCUGCAUUUUUGCAACAACUCACUCGUCAGAUUCAACAGUUCCUUCGGAGAUACUGCUGCUGUGGCUCCUGUACCUGACUUCUGUGUUUUCACUCUGCUUUUCUUCCCCAUCUUCCAACCUUCCAGAGAUCCCAGAACUCUUGCAAUGCUCUCUGUUCCCC